rnacentral:lncRNA from 1 species
AUGUUAUUUUUCAAUCUUGGCUUGCACUUCAUAAAUCCCUGUCUGCAGCUUCUGCUUUGUCUCCAUAUUCAUAUCCGAGUGCUGUCAUAUUUGCUGGUUUUCUUAAGAAUUGUGCUGCUGGUGUUCAGACAAUUCACUGCUGCCAUGAUGGUGGCAUCGCUGCAGGGCGGUUGUGCUGUGUUUGCAGUGACAGAGCCUGAUGUUCAAAGCUUGGCUUCAUCCAGUUGCUUUAAUGGGAUAGCAAGUGAAUGCCUGCCUGCAAGCUACAGCAGCCGCGAUGCCAAGUCUGCUAAGGAAGCCUGCAUUUCAGAGAUUGGGCUGUACCCCUGUACCCAAAAUGGCUGUACCCCUGAUUUGCCGAGGCUUGGAACAACAAUCAAAUGAUCGAUCCAUUUCACUACACAUCCAUAGCCUCUUUCAGGCCACAUAUCCCUGAAGUCUCUGUAUAUAAUGCUAUGGUUGCAGCUGAAUUUUGUGAUGACAGGUAAACCAAAUUAGAUUUAGUCUUAAUUUUAAAAAAUUGAAAAUCCAUCAGCAUCUCUGUCUUGCAAAG